UGAAACCUUUUCAAGGACAUCACAGCAGGUGUGGAGAAGAAGUAAAUGAUUCCCAUAACAAAGUGAACUUGUUUAAUAGACUACGUGAGAGGUUGGGGGUUUGGCUGGGGAAAUUAUUGUUUAAUUCUAUGAACUGAUGUCUCGCAUGUAC